rnacentral:rRNA from 1 species
GACGAACGCUGGCGGCGCGCCUAACACAUGCAAGUCGAGCGAUGAAAUUUUAACCGAUCUCUUCGGAGAGAAGAUAAAAUGGAUUAGCGGCGGACGGGUGAGUAACACGUGAGAAACCUGCCUUUCACAAGGGGAUAGCCUCGGGAAACCGGGAUUAAUACCCUAUGACACAUUUCCUUCGCAUGGAAGAAAUGUUAAAACUCCGGUGGUGAAAGAUGGUCUCGCGCCUGAUUAGCUAGUUGGUGGGGUAACGGCCCACCAAGGCCAUGAUCAGUAACCGGCCUGAGAGGGUGAACGGUCACAUUGGAACUGAGACACGGUCCAAACUCCUACGGGAGGCAGCAGUGGGGAAUAUUGCACCAUGGAGGAAACUCUGAUGCAGCGACGCCGCGUGAGCGAUGAAGGCUUUCGAGUCGUAAAGCUCUGUCCUAUGGGAAGAUAAUGACGGUACCAUAGGAGGAAGCCCCGGCUAACUACGUG